ACCCUAUCAAUAUUGCCUCUGCUU
rnacentral:miRNA from 1 species